rnacentral:lncRNA from 1 species
AAACUUGACUUUCAGACUUCCUUCACUUGGGUCGACUCAACCAUUCUUUGGGUCGACUCAAAGUUCACUUGGGUCGACUCAACUUCUUCUUGGGUCGACCCUCUCAGUAAUUCCAGAGAACCAUUUUCUGUCUGUCUUUCUGUCUUGCCUUUGGGUCGACCCUCUCAGGGUUUGGGUCGACUCAAGCUUGGGUCGACUCAACCACUGUUUGGGUCGACCCUCUCAGUAAAUCCAGAGAACAUUCUUCUGUCAUAUUUUGAGGUUCUUGAAGGUUGGGUCGACUCAUGCUUACCUUGGGUCGACCCAACUCACUGUUCAUCUGUGCCAUUUUUGCAGGAGUGUGUCAAAUGAUUUCUUGAUGUGCCGGGGUCGACCCAAUCAACCUUUGGGUCGACUCAAUCCACACUUUGCUGCAUUCUCAAGGUUAGAUUC